rfam:Hordeum vulgare subsp. vulgare, WGS project CAJW01000000 data, contig: morex_contig_195210
GAAAUACUCCCUCCGUCCGGAAAUACUUGUCCUAGAAGUGAAUGAAUCUAGACUUAUUUUAGUUAUAGAUAAAUCCAUUAUAUUCAUUUCUAAGACAAGUAUUUCCGGACAGAGGGAGUAUCCG